rfam:Hordeum vulgare subsp. vulgare, WGS project CAJW01000000 data, contig: morex_contig_37859
AUACUACUUCCUCCGUCCCAAAAUUAUUGUCUUAGAUUUGCCUAGAUAUAAAUGUAUCUAAGCACGUUUUAGUAUUUAGAUACAUUCUUUUCUAGACAAACUUGAGACAAGAAUUUUGGAACGGAGGGAGUACAUU